rnacentral:ncRNA from 1 species
CCGCUUCAAACUAUCAAACUGAAGAAAUUCAAUGAGGUGCGGGUAAAGGUAGCCAAAUGCCUCGUCAUCUAAUUAGUGACACGCAUGAAUGG